rnacentral:rRNA from 1 species
GACGAACGCUGGCGGCGUGCUUAACACAUGCAAGUCGAACGGAAAGGCCUCUUUCGGGGGGUACUCGAGUGGCGAACGGGUGAGUAACACGUGAGUAACCUGCCCUUGACUUUGGGAUAACUUCAGGAAACUGGGGCUAAUACCGGAUAGGAGCUCCUGCUGCAUGGUGGGGGUUGGAAAGUUUCGGCGGUUGGGGAUGGACUCGCGGCUUAUCCGCUUGUUGGUGGGGUAGUGGCUUACCAAGGCUUUGACGGGUAGCCGGACUGAGAGGGUGACCGGCCACAUUGGGACUGAGAUACGGCCCAGACUCCUACGGGAGGCAGAAGUGGGGAAGAUUGCACAAUGGGUGGAAGCCUGAUGCAGAAGCGCCGUGUGCGGGAUGACGGCCUUCGGGUUGUAAAACGCUUUCGCUCAUGACGAAGCUUUGUGUGACGGUAGUGGGUAAAGAAGCACCGGCUAACUACGUG